rnacentral:rRNA from 1 species
UACGAAGGAUGCAAGCGUUAUCCGGAUUUAUUGGGUUUAAAGGGAGCGUAGGCGGUCUUAUAAGUCAGUGGUGAAAUCCUAUCGCUUAACGAUAGACGUGCCAUUGAUACUGUAGGACUUAAGUACAGAUGCCGUUGGCGGAAUGUGUCAUGUAGCGGUGAAAUGCAUAGAUAUGACACAGAACACCGAUUGCGAAGGCAGCUGACGAAACUGUAACUGACGCUGAGGCUCGAAAGCGUGGGGAUCAAACAGG